UACGUAGGUGGCAAGCGUUGUCCGGAUUACUGGGCGUAAAGAGCGCGCAGGCGGUCGUUCAAGUCGCGUGUGAAAGCCCCCGGCUCAACUGGGGAGGGUCACGCGAUACUGAUCGACUCGAAGGCAGGAGAGGGAAGUGGAAUUCCCGGUGUAGUGGUGAAAUGCGCAGAUAUCGGGAGGACACCAGCGGCGAAAGCGGCUUCCUGGUCCAGCACCGACGUCAGGC
rnacentral:rRNA from 1 species